AGAGCGAACGCUGGCGGCAGGCUUAACACAUGCAAGUCGAGCGGGCGUAGCAAUACGUCAGCGGCAGACGGGUGAGUAACGCGUGGGAACAUACCUUUUGGUUCGGAACAACACAGGGAAGCUUGUGCUAAUACCGGAUAAGCCCUUACGGGGAAAGAUUUAUCGCCGAAAGAUUGGCCCGCGUCUGAUUAGCUAGUUGGUGAGGUAAUGGCUCACCAAGGCGACGAUCAGUAGCUGGUCUGAGAGGAUGAUCAGCCACAUUGGGACUGAGACACGGCCCAAACUCCUACGGGAGGCGGCAGUGGGAAUAUUGGACAAUGGGCGCAAGCCUGAUCCAGCCAUGCCGCGUGAGUGAUGAAGGCCCUAGGGUUGUAAAGCUCUUUGUGCGGGAAGAUAAUGACGGUACGCAAGAAUAAGCCCCGGCUAACUUCGCGCCAGCGGCCGC
rnacentral:rRNA from 1 species